UGAGUAACACGUGGGCAAUCUGCCCUGCACUUCGGGAUAAGCCUGGGAAACUGGGUCUAAUACCGGAUAGGACCACUUGGCGCAUGCCUUGUGGUGGAAAGCUUUUGCGGUGUGGGAUGGGCCCGCGGCCUAUCAGCUUGUUGGUGGGGUGAUGGCCUACCAAGGCGACGACGGGUAGCCGGCCUGAGAGGGUGUCCGGCCACACUGGGACUGAGAUACGGCCCAGACUCCUACGGGAGGCAGCAGUGGGGAAUAUUGCACAAUGGGCGCAAGCCUGAUGCAGCGACGCCGCGUGGGGGAUGACGGCCUUCGGGUUGUAAACCUCUUUCACCAUCGACGAAGGCUCACUUUGUGAGUUGACGGUAGGUGGAGAAGAAGCACCGGCCAACUACGUGCCAGCAGCCGCGGUAAUACGUAGGGUGCGAGCGUUGUCCGGAAUUACUGGGCGUAAAGAGCUCGUAGGUGGUUUGUCGCGUUGUUCGUGAAAUCUCACGGCUUAACUGUGAGCGUGCGGGCGAUACGGGCAGACUAGAGUACUGCAGGGGAGACUGGAAUUCCUGGUGUAGCGGUGGAAUGCGCAGAUAUCAGGAGGAACACCGGUGGCGAAGGCGGGUCUCUGGGCAGUAACUGACGCUGAGGAGCGAAAGCGUGGGGAGCGAACAGGAUUAGAUACCCUGGUAGUCCACGCCGUAAACGGUGGGUACUAGGUGUGGGUUUCCUUCCUUGGGAUCCGUGCCGUAGCUAACGCAUUAAGUACCCCGCCUGGGGGAGUACGGCCGCAAGGCUAAAACUCAAAGGAAUUGACGGGGGCCCGCACAA
rnacentral:rRNA from 1 species